rnacentral:rRNA from 1 species
UACGUAGGGUGCAAGCGUUGUCCGGAAUUAUUGGGCGUAAAGAGCUCGUAGGCGGUUUGUCGCGUCUGCUGUGAAAUCCCAGGGCUUAACCCUGGGCCUGCAGUGGGUACGGGCAAACUAGAGUGCGGUAGGGGAGAUCGGAAUUCCUGGUGUAGCGGUGAAAUGCGCAGAUAUCAGGAGGAACACCGGUGGCGAAGGCGGAUCUCUGGGCCGUAACUGACACUCAGGGACGAAAGCUAGGGGAGCGAAUGGG